rnacentral:rRNA from 1 species
GAUGAACGCUAGCUACAGGCUUAACACAUGCAAGUCGAGGGGAAACGACAUCGGAAGCUUGCUUUUGAUGGGCGUCGACCGGCGCACGGGUGAGUAACGCGUAUCCAACCUGCCCACCACUUGGGGAUAACCUUGCGAAAGUAAGACUAAUACCCGAUGAUAUCCCUAGAAGACAUCUGAAAGGGAUUAAAGAUUUAUCGGUGAUGGAUGGGGAUGCGUCUGAUUAGCUUGUUGGCGGGGUAACGGCCCACCAAGGCGACGAUCAGUAGGGGUUCUGAGAGGAAGGUCCCCCCACAUUGGAACUGAGACACGGUCCAAACUCCUACGGGAGGCAGCAGUGAGGAAUAUUGGUCAAUGGACGGGAGUCUGAACCAGCCAAGUAGCGUGCAGGACGACGGCCCUAUGGGUUGUAAACUGCUUUUAUAGGGGGAUAAAGUGUGCCACGUGUGGCAUAUUGCAGGUACCCUAUGAAUAAGGACCGGCUAAUUCCGUG